GACGAACGCUGGCGGCGUGCUUAACACAUGCAAGUCGAACGGAAAGGCUCCAGCUUGCUGGAGUACUCGAGUGGCGAACGGGUGAGUAACACGUGGGUGAUCUGCCCUGCACUUCGGGAUAAGCCUGGGAAACUGGGUCUAAUACCGGAUAGGACCGCACUUUGGUGUGUGUGGUGGAAAGGUUUUUCUGGUGUGGGAUGAGCUCGCGGCCUAUCAGUUUGUUGGUGGGGUAAUGGCCUACCAAGACGGCGACGGGUAGCCGGCCUGAGAGGGUGGACGGUCACAUUGGGACUGGGAUACGGCCCAGAAUCCUACGGGAGGCAGCAGUGGGGAAUAUUGCACAAUGGGGGAAACCCUGAUGCAGCGACGCCGCGUGGGGGAUGAAGGCCUUCGGGUUGUAAACUCCUUUCGCUAGGGACGAAGCUUUUUGUGACGGUACCUGGAGAAGAAGCACCGGCUAACUACGUG
rnacentral:rRNA from 1 species